GCACUGCACCAUUCCCACAACCACUAAACUUCCUGAGCCACAAUGAUCUCCUUUCAGAUCUUGAAAGAAAGCUCACUACGUAGAUUUCGGAAAAAAAUUGAUUUAAUCACGUCAAACUUGGUUGUGGCCACAUUUGAUAAAAAUAAUAAUGCAUGUUUCUUAACAAUCCAUAUUCAUUUAGGUUUCAAAAUGAUGAUACAUGGGACUUCUUGUAAAUUUACCUAUAUAUGUAAUAGAUUUUUUUUUUGUUUAGUUUCAGUUUUCCAAUGACAGAAAACUCUGUUGUCUUUUUCAAUUUUUCAGUGUGUCUUAAAUUGCUUACGGUAGGGAAGUAGGACUUCUGAACAUGAUCAGCUGAUCUUUUGGUCAAACAGUAACUUCCUGACAAAUUUGCUACCAGCACAAGUGAGUUAGGCAGUGACAAGAUGACAACCAGUCCUUCAAGGCUGUUUCUUCAAGAUUAACUUCAUGUCAGGGGCCAGACAGCCUAUGGUGGCUUCAAAAAUGUCUGCUGUCCCUACAAGGAUAACCACAGGGCUCUUAUUCUGGAACUCAGUGCUCCUCCUUCUGCUUGUGUUCUGUCAGAUAUUAACCGUCUUGGUGGUCAAUGCUGGUGUGUUCAUCCUCUCCAAUGAAGUCCUCAUCAGCCCCUCUAACUUUGAUCUACAAAGUUUAAAUGAUGAACUGUCCUGCAGGAGCCAUGCUUGUGGAGCUGAACCUCGAGUAAAAAUCCUCACCCCAGUGGUUGUACUGGGCUUGUAUGCUCCUGUGGUCCUUGUGGCCUUUGCCUUGCUUGCCAUGAUAUUAGCAGCUUACGCCAAAGACAGAACAGUACUCAGGUUGAGCAUGGGCUGCCAGGGUGCAUCGAGCCUGCUCAUUCUGAUGGGCACCAUCAGUUUUUUACUUAUCAAUCAAUCAUAUGUGAGCCAGGAACACAUGACCAUCUGGUUUUAUAUCUGGGUGGGUGUGCCAGUUGAGCUGAUGUUGUCCACUGCGCUGACAUAUGUGUCUGUGCGGAGGCUAAAGUCUUGCUGGGACUAGAGAGGACAAGAAAAAGACAUUAUUGCCCUGUUAACAAAAAUUGAAUCAAUAGAAUGUUAUUAGAGAUAUCAUCAAAACAACGUUCACAUUAUUUUUUCAUGUUUUUGUAAUGUUGUCAAACAGUGUUCAUAUCUUUGCUUGGAUUGUAAUGGUGAUGAAAAAGGUGACAUUAGAUUUAAAGGUCGACCCAUUUUCAGCUUUUCUUUAUUUUGUUUAAUCAGCUGUACUUGUCUGUGCCUGCUGUAACAAAGCUCAUGGUUUGUAGGCAAACAGGUUUGUAAAAGUGAACGCUAACUGCAUAAAUAAAUCUUACUGUGAAGGAAAAAUCCUAAAUAA